AACGAACGCUGGCGGCAUGCCUAACACAUGCAAGUCGAACGAGACCUUCGGGUCUAGUGGCGCACGGGUGCGUAACGCGUGGGAACCUGCCCUUAGGUUCGGAAUAACUCCCCGAAAGGGGUGCUAAUACCGGAUAAUGUCUUCGGACCAAAGAUUUAUCGCCUUUGGAUGGGCCCGCGUUGGAUUAGCUAGUUGGUAGGGUAAAAGCCUACCAAGGCGACGAUCCAUAGCUGGUCUGAGAGGCUGAUCAACCACACUGGGACUGAGACACGGCCCAGACUCCUACGGGAGGCAGCAGUGGGGAAUAUUGGACAAUGGGCGAAAGCCUGAUCCAGCAAUGCCGCGUGAGUGAUGAAGGCCUUAGGGUUGUAAAGCUCUUUUACCCGGGAUGAUAAUGACAGUACCGGGAGAAUAAGCACCGGCUAACUCCGUG
rnacentral:rRNA from 1 species